rnacentral:misc_RNA from 1 species
GAACGCACCUUGCGCUCCUUGGUAUUCCGAGGAGCAUGCCUGUUUGAGUGUCAUUAAAUUCUCAACCUCACCUCUUUUGUGUGUAGGCUUGGAUGUGGAGGGCUUGCAGGUCCGGCUCUCUCGAGUUGGUCUGCUCCUCUGAAAUGCAUUAGUGGGUUGUAGCCCCUCAUCUAUUGGUGUGAUAAUUAUCUACGCCGUGGAUCAGUGUUGGCAACAAAUGAAGACCUGCUUCUAACCGUCCGACUCGGACAACCAAUGACAUUUUUGACCUCAAAUCAGGUAAGACUACCCGCUGAACUUAAG